rnacentral:rRNA from 1 species
UACAGAGGUCUCAAGCGUUGUUCGGAUUCAUUGGGCGUAAAGGGUGCGUAGGCGGCGCGGUAAGUCGGGUGUGAAAUCUCGGAGCUUAACUCCGAAACUGCAUUCGAUACUGCCGUGCUUGAGGACUGGAGAGGAGACUGGAAUUUACGGUGUAGCGGUGAAAUUCGUAGAUAUCGAGAGGAACACCGGUGGCGAAGGCGGCCAACUGGACGAAUACUGACGCUGAGACUCGAAAGCGUGGGGAGCAAACAGG